rnacentral:rRNA from 1 species
GAUGAACGCUGGCGGCGUGCCUAACACAUGCAAGUCGAGCGCGGUCCCUUUGGUGCUUGCACCAAAGAUGACUGAGCGGCGGACGGGUGAGUAACGCGUGGGUAACCUGCCCUGUACAUAUGGAUAACAUGCUGAAAAGCAUACUAAUACAUAAUAACGUACAUUGAAGGCAUCUUCAGUGUAUCAAAGCGUUAGCGGUACAGGAUGGACCCGCGUCUGAUUAGCUAGUUGGUGGGGUAAAAGCCCACCAAGGCAACGAUCAGUAGCCGGCUUGAGAGAGUGAACGGCCACACUGGAACUGAGACACGGUCCAG